rnacentral:tRNA from 1 species
UCCCGGGUGGCUCAGUGGUAAAGAAUCUGCCUGCCAGGGCAGGAGACACGGGUUCAAUCCCUGGUCCGGGAA